UACGUAGAGUGCAAGCGUUAAUCGGAAUUACUGGGCGUAAAGCGUGCGCAGGCGGCUAUGCAAGACAGAUGUGAAAUCCCCGGGCUCAACCUGGGAACUGCAUUUGUGACUGCAUGGCUAGAGUACGGUAGAGGGGUAUGGAAUUCCGCGUGUAGCAGUGAAAUGCGUAGAUAUGCGGAGGAACACCGAUGGCGAAGGCAAUCCCCUGGACCUGUACUGACGCUCAUGCACGAAAGCGUGGGGAGCAAACAGG
rnacentral:rRNA from 1 species